UCGGCCUCCUUGGUGAUUCAUGAUAACUUUACGAAUCGCACGGCCUUGUGCCGGCGAUGGUUCAUUCAAAUUUCUGCCCUAUCAACUUUCGAUGGUAGGAUAGUGGCCUACCAUGGUUUCAACGGGUAACGGGGAAUUAGGGUUCUAUUCCGGAGAGGGAGCCUGAGAAACGGCUACCACAUCCAAGGAAGGCAGCAGGCGCGCAAAUUACCCAAUCCCGACACGGGGAGGUAGUGACAAUAAAUACUGAUACAGGGCCCUUUCGGGUCUUGUAAUUGGAAUGAGUACAAUUUAAAUCCAUUAACGAGGAACAAUUGGAGGGCAAGUCUGGUGCCAGCAGCCGCGGUAAUUCCAGCUCCAAUAGCGUAUAUUAAAGUUGUUGCAGUUAAAAAGCUCGUAGUUGAACCUUGGGUCUGGAUGACCGGCCCGCCUCACCGCGUGCACUGGGAAUCCGGACCUUUCCUUCUGGCAAACCUCAUGCCCUUCACUGGGUGUGUUGGGGAACCAGGACUUUUACUUUGAAAAAAUUAGAGUGUUCAAAGCAGGCAUUUGCUCGAAUACAUUAGCAUGGAAUAAUAGAAUAGGACGUGCGGUUCUAUUUUGUUGGUUUCUAGGACCGCCGUAAUGAUUAAUAGGGAUAGUCGGGGGCAUCCGUAUUCAAUUGUCAGAGGUGAAAUUCUUGGAUUUAUUGAAGACGAACUACUGCGAAAGCAUUUGCCAAGGAUGUUUUCAUUAAUCAGGAACGAAAGUUGAGGGAUCGAAGACGAUCAGAUACCGUCGUAGUCUCAACCAUAAACUAUGCCGACUAGGGAUCGGGCGAUGUUUUAUUCUGACUCGCUCGGCACCUUACG
rnacentral:rRNA from 1 species